rnacentral:rRNA from 1 species
GAUGAACGCUGGCGGCGUGCCUAAUACAUGCAAGUCGAACGAAACUUCUUUAUCACCGAGUGCUUGCACUCACCGAUAAGAGUUGAGUGGCGAACGGGUGAGUAAAACGUGGGCAACCUGCCCCAAAGAGGGGGAUAACACUUGGAAAAAGGUGCUAAUACCGCAAAACCAUAGUUACCGGAUGGUAAAUAUGUAAAAGGUGGCCAUAACACCGCUUUUGGAUUGGGCCGCGGCGCAUUAGCUAGUUGGUAGGGUAAAGGCUUACCAAGGCAAUGAUGCGUAGCCGAAUUGAGAGGUUGAUCGGCCACAUUGGGACUGAGACACGGCCCAAACUCCUACGGGAGGCAGCAGUAGGGAAUCUUCCACAAUGGGCGAAAGCCUGAUGGAGCAACGCCGCGUGGGUGAAGAAGGUCUUCGGAUCGUAAAACCCUGUUGUUAGAGAAGAAAGUGCGUGAGAGUAACUGUUCACGUUUCGACGGUAUCUAACCAGAAAGCCACGGCUAACUACGUG